rnacentral:lncRNA from 1 species
CUUCGUCGCCUACUUCGACUACAUGGGCGAGAUCGAGCCGGAAGCCACCGGGACACCCGCUGCUUCCCCGUCCUCAACCUCCAUCCGUCUCGGUCGCCGCCGCCGUCGCCAACACCGGCCACCUCUGCUGCUCCUAAGCCACUCAACGGGCCUCCUUGUGCCUGCUCGGUGAGCACAUCCUCUUCCCUCCCAUUCUUGCGCCGUAGGCCGCCGUCCCCGAGCUCGUCCGAGCUGCCGCGUACGCGUACGUGCGUGCGUGCUGUGGCUGCUUCUAUGCACGCGCGCCGGCCUCGCCGUGGUCUAGUGCUACUUCGCCUGCUACUGCUCCAGCGCCGCCCCGUACGGCGCUCGCCGACCCGCCACACGCGCGUCACCACGCCCGCACGCACCAGCCCUGCCCUUGAUCGUGCCCGUAGUCGCCGCGACCGUGCCGCCUGCGCCCAAUGCCCCUGGCCUCUGCUGCUGCUCACGCCGCGGCAUGCUGCUCGCCUGAGCUCCUGCGCCCGCCCACCACACGCACCGCACGCACCAGGCGCCCGUGCUGCUCGCUGCAGCUCUGCCUGCUGCUAUGCUACACAGGUACAGUAACAUUCAGUUACUGUAGCUAGUGCUAGCUUUUCUAAUUUGACAUUAUCUGACCCUCUGUACAGCCUCUAAACAACGUCUAACCAGCGGUUAACAUGGGUAAAAAUAAUAUGAGUAGAAAGCAUACAUGACAAACUCCAUUUUAUCCCACUGGACCAAAUCCUUUUGAUGUAUGGUUUAAUUCCUACAAAAAUCACAAAUUCCAAUGUUCUGUUAAUAGAAAGCUGAAAACAGCUUUAAUUUCAUAGCUACUUUAGAGCUGUUAAUGAUCAAUCAAAUGGACUAUAACAGAGUUGAAAGUGCUACUAUCUUAUAGACCACAGAAAAAUGCUGCAUAUUGAUAUAAGGCACAAAAUCAUAGGAGUUAUAGAUCAAUAGUUGUAGUGUUUUGAAAACAGCCAAGUAAUGUUUAAAACUGUCGAAUUCUCAGACUUAGCAAAAUUUCAGGGUUUUCCGAAUAUUGUUUUAAUCUUCAAAAAAACAUAUAAAAUAAUCCGUAGCUCGGAUGAAAAAGUUUUAUACAUGAAAGUUACUCAGAACGACGAGACGAAUCCGGUUACACCCUCCGUUCGUCCGCCACACACUCCUAGCAUAGCGAACACACAACUUUUCCCCUCCGGUUCAUCUGCCCGAAAACGCGAAACACCGGGAAUACUUUCCCGGAUGUUUCCCCCCUUCGCCGGUACCACCUAGUAUCACGUUAGGUCACUCUAGACCGCGUAUUGCCAUGUUACGCUUUGUGAUGCUUUGAUUGCUCUGUUAUUUAUUGUGUUCCCCUCCGUUACUUCUUUCCGGUAGACCCCGAGACUGCCGGCGACCCCAGUUCGACUACGGUGUUGACGAUCCCUCCUUGCCAGAGCAACCAGGCAAGCCCCCCCCCUUUGAUCACCAGAUAUCGCCUAUUCUUUUCUAUACUGCUUGCAUUAGAGUAGUGUAGCAUGUUACUAUUCGGUUACUCCUAUUUUGUUGCAUAGCCUGUCAUUGUUGCUACAGUCAUUGAUACCUUACCCGCAAUCCUAAAUGCUUAGUAUAGGAUGCUAGUUUAUCAUCAUUGGCCCUACAUUCUUGUCAGUCUGCCUCGCUAUACUAUUGGGCCGUGAUCACUCGGGAGGUGAUCACGGGUAUAUACUUUACAUACAUACAUACUAUACAGAUGGUGACUAAAGUCGGGUCAGCUCGAUGAGUACCCGCAAGUGAUUCUGAUGAGGGGGCUGAAAGGACAGGUGGCUCCAUCCCGGUAGAGGUGGGCCUGGGUUCCCGACGGCCCUCGACUGUUACUUUGUGGCGGAGCGACAGGGCAGGUUGAGACCACCUAGGAGACAGGUGGGCCUGGCCUUGUUCGGCAUUCGCGGAUACUUAACACGCUUAACGAGAUCUUGGUAUUUGAUCUGAGUCUGGCUACUGGCCUAUACGCACUAACCAUCUACGCGGGAGUAGUUAUGGGUAUCCCGGCGUCGUGGUAUCAGCCGAAGCACUUCAGACGUCAGCGACGGAGCGGCGCGCGCCGGAUUGGAACGUAAGCCUGCUCUUGUAUUAAGGGGGCUAGUUCUGCUUCCGGCCGCCCUCGCAACGUGCAGGUGUGCUAUGGGCGAUGGGCCCAGACCCCUGUGCGCUUAGGUUUAGACCGGCGUGCUGGCCUCUCUGUUUUGCCUAGGUGGGGCUGCGACGUGUUGAUCUUCUGAGGCCGGGCAUGACCCAGGAAAGUGUGUCCGGCCAAAUGGGAUCGAGCGUGUCGGGCUAUGUGGUGCACCCCUGCAGGGAAGUUAAUCUAUUCGAAUAGCCGUGAUCUUCGGUAACAGGACGACUUGGAGUUGUACCUUGACCUUAUGACAACUAGAACCGGAUACUUAAUAAAACACACCCUUCCAAGUUCCACAGACAACCCGGUGAUCGCUUUUCCACAGGGCAACGAGGGGAGGAUCGCCGGGUAGGAUUAUGCUAUGCGAUGCUACUGGAGAUGCUACUUGGAGAUGCUACUUGGAGAUGCUACUUGGGGGACUUCAAUCUACUCUCUUCUACAUGCUGCAAGACGGAGGCUGCCAGAAGCGUAGUCUUCGACAGGAUUAGCUAUCCCCCUCUUAUUCUGGCAUUCUGCAGUUCAGUCCACUGAUAUGGCCUCCUUACACAUAUACCCAUGCAUAUGUAGUGUAGCUCCUUGCUUGCGAGUACUUUGGAUGAGUACUCACGGUUGCUUUUCUCCCUCUUUUCCCCCUUUCCCUUCUACCUGGUUGUCGCAACCAGAUGCUGGAGCCCUGGAGCCAGACGCCACCGUCGACGAUGAUUCCUACUACACUGGAGGUGCC